UUAGUUCAGAGUGUCCUAUUUAAACCAUGUUUAGAGAAUGUUGAGUGACCCACCACGUGUAAGAAGGCAUGUUGGAAUCACAACGGUACCCUUUAAACCUUCACCUGACCAACAAUGUGGAAGCUUUUUCCUUUUUUCCUAUCGCAUAAACCUCAAUUAAAAAGAAUCAAGGAUAUCUCAUUAGUUUUUGAUCAGAUAAGGGGUAAAGGGUACUGUUGAAAAUAGAACAAUUCACUCUACAAAUAGAGGAUCACUCAACAACUACAUAACAUAUUCAGUCCCUUUAUUCUUGGCUCGAAUUAGGACACAUUCUAGGAUAUAGUUAGGUAACAACAAUGGAAACGAGAAAGACAACGGCAACGAUAAAUAACAACGAUAAAUAAUGGCUACAAAAACUAACAGCAAUGACGACGAUAAAUAAUAUCAACAACAACGGCAACGAUAAACGAAAUCAAGGGCAAUGAUAAAUAAUAUCAACGAUAAAUAACAUCAACGGCAACGAUAAAUAACAGUAAUGACAUUGAUAAAUACCAGCAUUAACAACGAUAAAUAAUAUCUACGAUAAAUAAAAUUAACGGCAACCAUAAAUAACAUCAACGACAACAAUAAAUAACAGCAAUGACAAUGAUAAAUAAUAGCAAUGACAAGGAUAAAUUAUAUCAACGAUAAAAAUAGCAAUGGCAACGAUAAAUAACAGCAAGGACAAUGAUAAAUAAUAUCAACGAUAUCAACAUCAACGGCAACAAUAGAUAUCAUCAACGGCAACGAUAAAUAACAGCAAUGACAUCGAUAAAUACCAGCAUUAGCAAUGAUAAAUAACAUCAACUAUAAGUAAAAUCAACUGCAACGAUAAAUAACAUCAACGGCAACAAUAAAUAACAGCAAUGACCAUUAUAAAUAAUAGCAAUGACAAGGAUAAAUUAUAUCAACGACAAAUAAUAGCAAUGGCAAUGAUAAAUAACAGCAAUGACAAUGAUAAACAAUAUCAACGAUAAAUAACAUCAAUGGCAACGGUAAAUACAUAAACGGCAAUGAUAAAUAACAUCAACUGCAUCGAUAAAUAACAUCAACGGCAACAAUAAAUAAUAGCAACGGCAAUGAUAUAUAAAAGCAGCAGCAACAAUUAAAUAGCAGCAACAGCAACAAUAAAUAGCAGCAACGGCAACGUCAAAUAACAGCAACAACAACGAUAAACACAGCAACGACAACAAUUAUUAACAGCAAGAACAAAGAGAAAUAACAGCAACGGCAAUGAUAAUCAAAAAUAUAUUGAUAACAAUAACAAUGAUUUAGGGAGGAGGUGGAGAAGUUGAAAAAAGAAAUACAAAGAAUGAACGGAGAAUCAAGAUCACAAGAAUCUUCAUUAGAGUUUCAACGAAACGACUCCAGCCGGAAUAUAUUGACGUCUUUAAAAAAUCAAAA